GCGGGUGUAACUCAGUGGUAGAGUGUCAGCUUCCCAAGCUGAAGGUCGUGGGUUCAAAUCCCAUCACCCGCUUCA
rnacentral:tRNA from 1 species